rnacentral:rRNA from 1 species
AGCGAACGCUGGCGGCAGGCUUAACACAUGCCAGUCGAGCGGGCACUUUCGGGUGUCAGCGGCGGACGGGUGAGUAACGCGUGGGAACGUGCCCUCUGGUUCGGAAUAACUCAGGGAAACUUGAGCUAAUACCGGAUACGCCCUCUUGGGGAAAGGCUGGCGGCCGGAGGAUCGGUCCGCGUCUGAUUAGCUAGUUGGUGAGGUAACGGCUCACCAAGGCGACGAUCAGUAGCUGGUCCGAGCGGAUGAUCAGCCACGCUGGGACUGAGACACGGCCCCGUCUCCUACGGGAGGCAGCGGUGGGGAAUAUUGGGCGAUGGGCGCAAGCCUAAUCCAGCCAUGCCGCGUGAGUGAUGAAGGCCUUAGGGUUGUAAAGCUCUUUGAUCCGGGACGAUAAUGACGGUACCGGAGGAAUAAGCCCCGGCUAACUUCGUG